CCUACGGGGGGCAGCAGUGGGGAAUUUUGCGCAAUGCUCGUAAGAGUGACGCAGCGACGCCGCGUGAAUGACGAAGGCCUUCGGGUCGUAAAGUUCUUUCGACAGGGAAGAAAAUGCCUAUAAGUAACUGUGUCUGUAUUGACGGUACCUGUAUAAGCAGCCCCGGCUAACUCCGUGCCAGCAGCCGCGGUAAUACGGAGGGGGCGAGCGUUGUUCGGAGUGACUGGGCGUAAAUGGCACGUAGGCGGUGUUGUAAGUCAUUAGGCAAAGACUAGAGCUCAACUUUAGUAAGGCUAGUGAUACUAUAAUACUAGAGUAUCAGAGAGGAUUGCAGAAUUCCUGGUGUAGCGGUGAAAUGCGUAGAUAUCAGGAGGAAUACCGUCAGCGAAGGCGGCAAUCUGGCUGGAAACUGACGCUGAGGCGCGAAAGCGUGGGUAGCAAACAGGAUUAGAUACCCGAGUAGUC
rnacentral:rRNA from 1 species